rnacentral:rRNA from 1 species
UACGAAGGGGGCUAGCGUUGCUCGGAAUCACUGGGCGUAAAGCGCACGUAAGCGGCUUUUUAAGUCAGGGGUGAAAUCCUGGAGCUCAACUCCAGAACUGCCUUUGAUACUGAGAAGCUUGAGUCCGGGAGAGGUGAGUGGAACUGCGAGUGUAGAGGUGAAAUUCGUAGAUAUUCGCAAGAACACCAGUGGCGAAGGCGGCUCACUGGCCCGGUACUGACGCUGAUGCGCGAAAGCGUGGAUAGCAAACAG